AGUUAUUAUUAAGUAGAUUUUGAAAAUCUAUAUAAAAUGUUAAAUCAUUUAAUAACUU
rnacentral:tRNA from 1 species